UUAAUGUGAGUGCCUUCAUAAUAACAACAAAACUGUGUGCUUUUGGCAAAUAAAGAAAAUAAACAGGGAGUGCAUUUCGACAUCUCUGUCUCCUUGACCAUUUUCCUCAAACACGUUUCAAACAUGAACUGAUAACUCCGCCAAUACUUGUCACACGAACAUGAUACAUAUGUCUAAAGAAAGCCUGAAAUGUCUACUUUUACAUGAUGUAAUUAAAAUUUGAAGAACUCAUUGUCUGUUUGUGUAAUCGACAUGUAAGUAAAGAGAGGUACAGUUUUUCUGGCUCGACCUCAUUAGCGCUAAUGUGAUCCCACCUACCGUGUGCGCGCCAUUCAUAUGGAAAUUACCUGAUGCGGGCUAUGCAAACAAGAUCAACGCCCCCAAACAAUGCUUUAAGAAGCAGCGAGUUUUGACAGUUUCAUCCACUUAUCAACGCGCUGGGAAGAUGACACGCUUUACAGGUGAGGAAGCUAUACAGAUGCUCCUGGCAGCGAGGAAGAGUUCACUGUUUCUUCAGACGAAGAGCAGGACUCCCACGAUGAACGUUUGUUUUUUGAAGAGCGACUUGAUCCAGCUGAGGAUAUAAUUUCUGAAGAGUAAGUUUUACAUACAUUUGUUGAAAUGUUGUGUGAUGUAAACUUUUAUAUACUGUAUACUGACUAUUUGCACGCAGAUAUUCAUAAUGACUUUAUAGAAACGUCUCGUAAUUGGCAACUUGUUUACAUUAAAAUGAUAGUUCUUACAUUAAACCGUAUGCUGAUUAGUGUAAUGUGAAUAUGUUAUAAAGCAAUAUCACUACUAUAACUAUAGUGUCCAUGCCGACUUAUCAAUAAGGCUUCUUUAUUUGCUCGGGUGUAACAUUGUGCUGUAAAUGAGCCCGGAGAUAUGUCAUGCGUUAAACAGUAUGAUUGUAUGGUGUGAUGUAAAUAUACAAUAUGUCAUAAAACAAUAUCACUAUUUAGAAUAUAUUUUGACUAGUGUUUAUGCCUCAACAAGUCUUGUUUACGCGACUAUCGUUCGGGUGUAAAUGUAUCGAUGUAGUAUCGAUGUGCUGUAAAUGUGUCUGGAGAUAUGUAAUGUGUUAAUGUUUAGCCAUAACCGGUAAUGGCCCGUUAACAAAGAUAUACCGCAUCUAUGUACCCAAUUAUCUUAUCUCAACUAUGCUUUACCGCCUUAGUAUUGCUUUAUAAGUUUGUUACUGUGGAGAAUACAUGAUAUUAAUUAUUAAAAACUUUUGUAGGAAUGUGACAGCAUCACUCUCCUCUUCAGCGGGCAUUUGCAGAAAUGCGACGGACAUUCAUAAAGGUAACGUGGCUUCAUCGUCAUUUACUCGCACGGGGGCAUGCAGAAACGAACCCGAAAUUCAUAAAGUGAAUGUGUCUGCAACACCAACUUCGUCUGGUACCCGCACGUUUUGAACAAUGGGACGACAACAUUUAACUCCAUUCCCAAAGAGUUACAGUGUGUGAUGGUUUACAAAUGUAUACCUUAUUUUUUUAUAUUUGGAAGUAUUUUUAGAUGCACACCAAACUUUCACAGCUGACCAUUUAGAAUCCUUUUCUUUUAAUUAGAGCCAUAU